UACGGGGGGGGUAAGCGUUGUUCGGAAUUACUGGGCGUAAAGGGCUCGUAGGUGGCCAACUAAGUCAGACGUGAAAUCCCUCGGCUUAACCGGGGAACUGCGUCUGAUACUGGAUGGCUAGAGUUUGGGAGAGGGAUGCGGAAUUCCAGGUGUAGCGGUGAAAUGCGUAGAUAUCUGGAGGAACACCGGUGGCGAAGGCGGCAUCCUGGACCAACACUGACACUGAGGAGCGAAAGCCAGGGGAGCAAACGGG
rnacentral:rRNA from 1 species